rnacentral:snoRNA from 1 species
UCUUCGUGAUGAAAACCAUAUAUCAGUUCUGCUUCCGAGAGGUCAUGAGCGAUAACCCAAAAUACCAAAAACUCUUUCUGAACU